GGCCCCCCGGGGUUUUUCCCCCAAAUUUUGGGGAAAAAAAAUUGGGUUUUUGGGGGAAAAUUAAAGGGGGGGGGGGGCCCCCCCAAAAAAAGGGGGGGCCCCAAAUGGCCCCCCCUUUUUUUUGGGGGGGGGAAAAAA